ACUGAGAUGGCUGUUCCUUUGUCCAGAUCUCAUUUUUACAUAGCAAUGGAAGGAUUAAUUCCUCCUAUCCU
ensembl:misc_RNA